rnacentral:rRNA from 1 species
AGAGUUUGAUCAUGGCUCAGGACGAACGCUGGCGGCGUGCCUAAUACAUGCAAGUCAAGCGGAUUUAUCCUUUGGGGUAAGCUAGCGGCGGACGGGUGAGUAACACGUAGGUAACCUGCCUAUAAGAUCGGGAUAACUAUCGGAAACGAUAGCUAAGACCGGAUAAUUGGUUUUCUCGCAUGAGAGAACUAUGAAACACGGAGUAAUCUGUGGCUUAUAGAUGGGCCUGCGGCGCAUUAGCUAGUUGGUAGGGUAACGGCCUACCAAGGCGACGAUGCGUAGCCGACCUGAGAGGGUGAACGGCCACACUGGGACUGAGACACGGCCCAGACUCCUACGGGAGGCAGCAGUAGGGAAUCUUCCGCAAUGGACGCAAGUCUGACGGAGCAACGCCGCGUGAGUGAUGAAGGUUUUCGGAUCGUAAAGCUCUGUUGCCCUAGACGAACAGCAAAAGGAGUAACUGCCUUUUGUGUGGCGGUAUAGGAGAAGAAAGCCCCGGCUAACUACGUGCCAGCAGCCGCGGUAAUACGUAGGGGGCAAGCGUUGUCCGGAAUUAUUGGGCGUAAAGCGCGCGCAGGCGGUCAAUUAAGUUGGGUGUUUAAGCCCAGGGCUCAACCCCGGUUCGCAUCCAAAACUGGUUGACUUGAGUGUAGGAGAGGAAAGUGGAAUUCCACGUGUAGCGGUGAAAUGCGUAGAGAUGUGGAGGAACACCAGUGGCGAAGGCGACUUUCUGGCCUAUAACUGACGCUGAGGCGCGAAAGCGUGGGGAGCAAACAGGAUUAGAUACCCUAGUAGUCC